AGGUGGGUAGUCCGCACGAGCGCACCCUAUUCUUAGUUGCCAGCGAGUAUGUCGGGGACUCUAAGAAAACUGCCGGCGUAAGCCGCGAGGAAGGUGGGGACGACGUCAAGUCAUCACGGCCCUUACGUCCUGGGCCACACACGUGCUAUAAUGGCGAGUACAGAGGGCAGCUACCUAGUGAUAGGAUGCAAAUCUCGAAAACUCGUCUCAGUUCGGAUUGAAGUCUGCAACUCGACUUCAUGAAGCUGGAGUCGCUAGUAAUCGCGCAUCAGCCAUGGCGCGGUGAAUACGUUCCCGGGCCUUGUACACACCGCCCGUCAAGCCAUGGAAGCUGGGGGUGCCUAAAGUCGGUAACCGAAAGGAUCUGCCUAGGGUAAAACUAGUAACUGGGGCUAAGUCGUAACAAGGUAGCCGUACCGGAAGGUGCGGCUGGAACACCUCCUUUCU
rnacentral:rRNA from 1 species